rnacentral:rRNA from 1 species
CCUACGGGUGGCAUCAGUGGGGAAUAUUGGACAAUGGGGGGAACCCUGAUCCAGCCAUGCCGCGUGUGUGAAGAAGGCCCUCGGGUUGUAAAGCACUUUCAGUGAGGAAGAACGCCUGGUGGUUAAUACCCAUCAGGAAAGACAUCACUCACAGAAGAAGCACCGGCUAACUCCGUGCCAGCAGCCGCGGUAAUACGGAGGGUGCGAGCGUUAAUCGGAAUUACUGGGCGUAAAGCGCGCGUAGGUGGCUUGAUAAGCCGGUUGUGAAAGCCCCGGGCUCAACCUGGGAACGGCAUCCGGAACUGUCAAGCUAGAGUGCAGGAGAGGAAGGUAGAAUUCCCGGUGUAGCGGUGAAAUGCGUAGAGAUCGGGAGGAAUACCAGUGGCGAAGGCGGCCUUCUGGACUGACACUGACACUGAGGUGCGAAAGCGUGGGUAGCAAACAGGAUUAGAUACCCUGGUAGUC